rnacentral:rRNA from 1 species
GUCUCGGCUAACUACGUGCCAGCAGCCGCGGUAAAACGUAGGAGGCAAGCGUUAUCCGGAUUCACUGGGCGUAAAGCGCGUGCAGGUGGCGCGGUAAGUUGGGUGUGAAAUCUCCCGGCUCAACUGGGAGAGGUCAUUCAAUACUACCGUGCUUGAGAGCAGAAGAGGAAGAUGGAAUUCCCGGUGUAGUGGUGAAAUGCGUAGAUAUCGGGAGGAACACCAGUGGCGAAGGCGAUCUUCUGGUCUGUUUCUGACACUCAGACGCGACAGCUAGGGUAGUAAACGGGAUUAGAGACCCCGGUAAUCCUAGCCGUAAACGAUGUGAACUUGGCGUUGGUGGGUUAAACUCCAUCAGUGCCGUAGCAAACGCGAUAAGUUCACCGCCUGGGGACUACGGCCGCA